GGCAAGGUAGCUCAGUUGGUUAGAGCGCGGGACUCAUAAGCCCGAGGUCGUGGGAUCGUUCCCCACCCUUGCCAC
rnacentral:tRNA from 15 species